rnacentral:rRNA from 1 species
ACGGGUGAGUAACGCGUAGGAAUAUACCUUAAAGAGGGGGACAACCUGGGGAAACUCAGGCUAAUACCGCAUAAUUUCCGAGGAAAGAAGCUGGGGACCUUCGGGCCUGGCGCUUUAAGAAUAGCCUGCGUACGAUUAGCUAGUUGGUAGGGUAAAGGCCUACCAAGGCGACGAUCGUUAGCUGGUCUGAGAGGAUGAUCAGCACACUGGGACUGAGACACGGCCCAGACUCCUACGGGAGGCAGCAGUGGGGAAUAUUGGACAAUGGGGGGAACCCUGAUCCAGCAAUGCCGCGUGUGUGAAGAAGGCCUGAGGGUUGUAAAGCACUUUCAGUGGGGAGGAGGGAUGCUAGGUUAAGAGCUAGGCAUUUGGACGUUACCCACAGAAGAAGCACCGGCUAACUCUGUGCCAGCAGCCGCGGUAAUACAGAGGGUGCAAGCGUUAAUCGGAAUUACUGGGCGUAAAGGGUGCGUAGGUGGUUUGAUAAGUUAUCUGUGAAAUCCCUGGGCUUAACCUGGGCAGGUCAGAUAAGACUGUUGGACUCGAGUAUGGGAGAGGGUAGUGGAAUUUCCGGUGUAGCGG